rnacentral:lncRNA from 1 species
AUGAUGGAUGUAGAAUGGCUACAAGAGCGUGUCCCGACUGAGCCUUCCCAGAGUCACAGAACACUACAGCCAAAAAGUGCAAAGGAACUGAGGCAAGAAAAGGAGAUGUGCCAGCCUGGUUACAGGUUUCCUUCUGAUGCUGGUUCUUUGUAUCAUAUGCUUUGGUUUUGCUCCAAAUUGACCAUCACCUCUGAGCUCACCAACGCUCUAUGAAAAAGUCGCCCAUAACCAAUUUCCUUUCAGUUCUAUCUUCUGAGUAUUUCAUACAUUACAGAAGUGACUUUAUUGUUGACAAAUUCUCAGGCAAUGUAUCACUCGAACGUUGCUCAUAUAGCAACAGAGACAAGUGAAAAUUGAAGAGACUGCCACAAUUUGCCUUGUGGAAAAGCUUUGGCUGAUUUCUUUGGAGACAAAACACUUGCAUUCCUCAAAUCUUCUUACUGUUCUCCCACAAAGGAGAAAUAUGGAAAAGGAGACAACCAGAAAUGUGAAGUAUAUUGACUUGGAUUUUACAACUCCCACCACGAAAGAUAAUUGAAGAAAUGUCUAUUACAUUGAGUUGCAGUGUUGAGGCCGUGUUGGUUCCAGAAUAUGAAAGAGAGAAGGUGGGUGAGAUAAUAUUUUUUAUUGGCCCAACUUCCGUUGGUAGAAGGGCCAAGUUUUCAAGCUACCUGGAGCUCUUCUUCGGGCCUACGGAAGGAACUAUGCUCUCGAAUGAACUCACACAGAAAAAUGAUAAAAGGCCACAAUGACAAAAUGACCCGUGAAUGAAUAUUUUUCACAAAGUGAUCACUCUGUAUCUGAUCUUGCAAUACUUGUCCUCAAUGGAACACCUUCAAAAGGCACUAAGGGUCCAUCUACACUGCCAUAAAACACCCCCAGCAGGCCCACGUCAGCCAACUACGGCUUGUGAGGCUCGGCUGCAGAGAUUUAAAAUUGCAGUGUAGCUGUCUCCAUCCUUAGAGGUUUUUAAGGCCCAGCUUGACAAAGCCCUGGCUGGAAUUAUUUAGUUGGGUUGAGGUAACCCAUUCCAAUGCUUGUCGGGCCUUAAAACCCUCUAAGGAUGGAGAUUCCACCACCUCCCUAGGUAACCCAUUCCAGUGCUUCACCACCCUCCUAGUGAAAAAGUUUUUCCUAAUAUCCAACCUAAACCUCCCCCACUGCAAUUUGAGACCAUUGCUGCUUCUAUCAUCUGGUACCACUGAGAACAAUC